rnacentral:rRNA from 1 species
AUGGUGGAGGGCUCUGAGAGUGAUAUCUCGAACCUCAAGUUCCUCUUAUUGUGCUUCCAACAGAUGUACGGCCUUAGGACCAACUUCGACAAGAGUGAGGUUAUGGUCUUGGGCUACGACCAAGACGAGCGAUAGAGCAUAGCGGAUCGGCUUAACUGACAGCUUGGGUGCUUCCCCACGACUUAUCUGGGGAUACCCAUUAGUGACGCCAGGCUUAUGGUGGCCAAGCUGCGCCCCACGGUGGGGAAGCUCCAACAUCGGAUCGAGCCCUGGCAGGGUUGGUGGCUCUCGAAAGCGGCCCGUACGAUGCUCAUUAACUCGUCCCUCUCCAGCCUCCUAUUAUUCAUCAUGAGCUUCUACAGCCUUCCGGAGACUCUUCAUCACGAGAUUGCCACCGUUCAGGGGCGCUUCUUCUGGGCCGGCGAGGGUGAUAAGCAGAAAUACCACAUGGUCAGGUGGUCUGAGAUCUGCAAACCUCGCGACCAGGGCGGCCUUGGGAUCAUGUACUCCAAACGCAUGAAUAUUGCCCUUCUGACUUGGCUUUGGAGUAUUAGCAACAGAGAUGGUGGCCUGUAG